UCCCCCCCCCCUCUCUCUCUCGCCCUGCCAUGCCUCAGCCAUGAGAGAGAUGGGCGAAUUGGGGAGCUCUUCUUCGCCGUCGCCCUCGUCCUCGAUCGCGCACUCCUCCGUCUUCCACAGUUACCCGCUGAUCUCGGCCGUCCUGGCCUUCGCCAUCGCCCAAUCAAUCAAGUUCUUCACCACCUGGUACAAGGAAAGACACUGGGAUGCCAAGCAGCUUAUUGGAUCUGGUGGGAUGCCAUCAUCCCAUUCAGCCACAGUCACUGCACUAGCACUAGCUAUUGGAAUUCAAGAUGGGUUGGACAGUUCUGCUUUUGCUACAGCGGCGAUAUUAGCAUUUGUGGUGAUGUGUGAUGCUUUUGGUGUUCGACUGCAUGCUGGAAAGCAGGCAGAGGUGUUAAAUCAAAUUAUGUAUGAACUUCCAGAAGAGCAUCCUCUGUCUGUUACUAGACCACUACAUGAACUUCUUGGCCAUACUCCUAUUCAGGUUUGAUACGAUGCUGUAAUCUUGUAAAGGGUAGUGGUAACUACCAUGAUGCAACCUGGUCAUCGCUGGUGCUGCCCUGGGGUCUGUGGUAGCUAUCGCGGCUCAAUUAAUCAACAGAUUUGCUGGUGGUGCAUGGCAAUCAGAAAUCAUAAACAAAUUGAUCGACGACAACUGACAUCAUCAAGCUGUGCUUUCUGAUCAUUAUAGGAAUGGAGAGAAGCAUCAUUGGCUAAUCAUAUAUGGGUAUUUAACCCACAGUUAGUAUAAUGAUUGAUGUGUGCGUGGUAUUUCCACAAGACAUGGAUAAAAUUCCAUUCUUGCUGUGAUGUAUACAAGUUCGAUCAUUGUGUAUGACCGUUCUACUGUGCAUUGUAUCCGUAUAGACCUGUUUGAUAAAAAAUGUAAUAUUGGUGGACA